CAAAACUGGGACCUGGGGAGUGUUACAAACUCAGAGUGAAUGGGGUGGUUUGUGCAGUCUAAUAUAGACCGGGCCUUGGGGAGUACUUGCUGGUCAAAGAUAGCCAUCAAGGGGGACUGUGGGAUACCUUUCACCUUGCCAGCCACCUUUACAACAUGGCUUAGGUGGAUUUUGUCCCUGAUGUUAAGAUUACCAUACCAAGCAGCCA